AAUGAAACAGGAGAGUUCCCUGAUUUCCUCCCGGCCCCCGCCCUCCCACAGCCCUUUGCAGGACGUGCAACAGGGUUGUGGCUCGUGUGUUCGGUCUCUGCCUGCUGAAACCCCUUAUGGGAGGUGGAGCAUGCAGACGGACGGGUGCAGGAGCCAGGGUGCAAAAGCUGGGGCGCUGGGCUUCCAGCCCCACGGCAGUGUCCAGGGGCAGGAUCCCGUGAUUCCCGGAGCCCAAAUGGGCGUGUGUUACAGUGUGCUCUUUUAGCCUUACCAUCAGCUGACGGCUUAAGUGUUAACCAGCUCAAUAGACCCUCUGCCUUUUUGCAAGCGCAGAGGGUCAGUGUGACAGUUUCUGUAUCUCAGCUCUUGUCUCACCUCCCAGAAGAAUCAGGUCACACAUGGACUUGAAGGAUGACGGGCCUGUCUAAUUGCAGGAAAACAAACUCAGGGCUCCCACUGAUUCUACAUUACGGAAAACACAGAUCCUGGUGCCGAACAUGAGGACAGGGCAGGCCGAAGGAGAAAGUGGAAGGAGGGGAGCUUCUCUCUCAGCCUCAUCCUUCUGGGCCUGGAUGCUGGAGAGUCAUGAGGUGCUUCAGAGUACUCUGGGUGAGGAGGGAAAGAUGGUGCCCACCACAUGGAGGCCAGCCUAGGUCUUGUAUGAAACCUGUGAGGCCAGCAGGAGCCAGGCCGUGGCCUGCUGACUGCAUCUGCCAGAUGACUACCAAUGUGAGAUUCUCUCUCCCUUGCUGUCUUUGAAAAAGCAAGUUGCCAUGUGAAGAGGGCCAUAUAGCAUAGGAGCUGAAGGCAGCCUCCAACUGACGGCAAGAAAAUGAGGUCCUCAGUCUGACAACCUGCAAGAAACUGAAUGUUCUAAAAGCCACAUGAGCUUGGGAGCAGAUCUGACCCCAGCCAAAUCUCUGAAGUCCGCAGGCAGGAAAUGAAGAUCAGAAAAAGGCUAUUGUCUCAUGAAUAUGAGCCAGACUCCACAGAAGCUGGAGUCCUUCAUUAUGGAGCUAAACACAUACACCUGGCUUAGGAGUCAGAAAAACUGAAAGAGAAUUCAGGGAAGUAGAGAAAUUGCAAGCCCAGAUGCUGCUUCAUACCAAAGAAGCAAGUCAGCAGGUCAGCAACAAUGUGUAUCAGUUCCAAAAUGACUUACACAGGUACCAAGACAAGACAUUAUAUACACUUAUAUAGUCAAAUACUUUAAAACUGUUAACAAACUUGCUACAAUUGUCUCAUUUGUCUUUUAACCUUAAUAUCACAGAUCAAGUUUGUAAUCUCAAAAGUUCACCCUGGCUGCUGUGUGGAGUAUUCUCUUAUCUGCUCAUAUUACACUGUGCUUAUUCAUUCAUCAGUUAAUGGAAAUUUGGGUUGUUUCCUGAUUUUGACUGUAAUGAAUAAUGUUGCUGUAAACAUUCAUGUACAGUUUUGUGUGGACAUGCUUUUCUUUCUCUUGGGUAGGUUCCUAUGAGUGGAAUCACUAGAUUGUAUGGUAAAUGUAUGUUUAACUUUUAAAGAAACUGUCAAACUGUUUUCUAACAUGAACGGGCCAUUUUACGUUCUUAUCAACAAUAUAUGAUGGUUUCAAUUUUCCCACAUCCUCACCAACAUUUGGUAUUGUCUCUCUUUUACAUCAUAACUAUUUUAGUGGGGAUGUAGUGAUAUCUUAUCGUGGUUUUAAUUUGUGUCUCCCUAAUGACUAAUGAUAUUGUGCAUCUUUGCAUAUGCUUGUUAGCCAUUUAUGUACAUUCUUUAGUGAAAUGGCUAUUCAAAUCUUCUGCCCAUUUAAAAAUCGAGUUGUUUUUCUUAUUAUUCAGUUGUAAGAGUUUUUUCUUUAUUCUGUGCAAAAGUCCUUUAUCAAGUCUAGGAUUUUUGAAUAUUUUCUCAACCUAGAGCUUGUUUUUCAACAUUUUUUUCUUAAUGAUCUUUUGAAGUGCAAAAGUUUGAUUUUGAUGAAGUCUAAUGUAUCACUUCUUCCUUUAACUGUCAUGAUUUUUGUGUCGUAUCUAAGAACUCUUUACCCAACUCAAAGUUACCAAGGUAUUUUCUUCCAGAAGUUUUGCAGUUUUAACUCUUCUAUAUAGGCCUGUGAUCCAUUUUUAAUUCAUUUUUUGCAUAUGAUGUGAGAGAAGGGCCUAAGUUCAUAUUCGUACAUGUGGAUGUACAAUGGUUCCAGGAUCACUUGCUGAGAAAAGACUAUCCUUUCCCCAUUGAUUUUUUUGGCACCUGUGUCAAAAAUCAAUUGACCAUAAAUGCAAGCGUUUAUAUCUGAACUCUCAGUUCUUCUCCAUUCAUCUCUAAGGAUAUGUCUAUGCUUACAUCAAUAUCACAGUGUAUUCAUGUGGCUUUGUAGUAAAUUUUGAAAUUGGGUGAUA
rnacentral:lncRNA from 1 species